GAUGCUUUGGUGCCUUCGGGAACUCUGAGACAGGUGCUGCAUGGCUGUCGUCAGCUCGUGUUGUGAAAUGUUGGGUUAAGUCCCGCAACGAGCGCAACCCUUAUCCUUUGUUGCCAGCGGUUCGGCCGGGAACUCAAAGGAGACUGCCGGUGAUAAACCGGAGGAAGGUGGGGAUGACGUCAAGUCAUCAUGGCCCUUACGGCCAGGGCUACACACGUGCUACAAUGGCGCAUACAAAGAGAAGCGACCUCGCGAGAGCAAGCGGACCUCAUAAAGUGCGUCGUAGUCCGGAUUGGAGUCUGCAACUCGACUCCAUGAAGUCGGAAUCGCUAGUAAUCGUAGAUCAGAAUGCUACGGUGAAUACGUUCCCGGGCCUUGUACACACCGCCCGUCACACCAUGGGAGUGGGUUGCAAAAGAAGUAGGUAGCUUAACCUUCGGGAGGGCGCUUACCACUUUGUGAUUCAUGACUGGGGUGAAGUCGUAACAAGGUAGGCGUAGCGAG
rnacentral:rRNA from 1 species